rnacentral:rRNA from 1 species
ACGUUAGCGGCGGACGGGUGAGUAACACGUGGGUAACCUACCUAUAAGACUGGGAUAACUCCGGGAAACCGGGGCUAAUACCGGAUAACACAUGAAACCGCAUGGUUUCAUGAUGAAAGACGGUUUUGCUGUCACUUAUAGAUGGACACGCGGCGUAUUAGCUAGUUGGUAAGGUAACGGCUUACCAAGGCAACGAUACGUAGCCGACCUGAGAGGGUGAUCGGCCACACUGGAACUGAGACACGGUCCAG